rnacentral:sRNA from 1 species
CAGUCAGCUAUAGACGUCCUUGCUGGAUUUUCCUGAGUUUUGUUAUUCAUUGCGAAAAAAGACACAAGAAGAAAUAACGGUGUUUUAACGUUGGUAGGCUGCGCUCUUGUCAUACCGUACCGUACAUCACAGCUAACACUAUUGGAUUGGCAAAAAAAGUGGAAAAAAUAAUAGGAAUAGGUACAACUGUGAAAACUGAUUCUUCUUUGUUACCAUUAACGCGUCGUUCGUUCGGGUACUGCAGAUAUAAAAUAUUAUAGAGAGCUCUUACUUCUAUAUAACAAAAGCUACACUGCGAUAUGUUGUUGUUGAUUUAACAUUCGACAUUAACGGUUUGGUUUCUUUGAUUUCUCUCUCUCUCUCUGUCGCUGUCUCCCUCUCUCAGUGUGAGUGUGUGUGCGUGUGCCUGUUAUACAAAAGGAAGCGAAAUUACAGAGACGAAACACGGAAAAUAAAUAACACGAAAACUAAAACAGAAAGCAAAAAA